AAUAAGCAUGGGAUAAGUUUCCAUGUCCAACUUUAACAUCUGUCUUAUUUUAAAAAAAAUUUAUGAUUAGUAUUUUUAUUGUUAUCAUAAUAUAAAACAUGAGUAGUAAUUUAUAUGUGACUUAGAAAAAGAUUAAAGUUAGAUACGGACACUCAUGGUUUCACUUAUU
rnacentral:pre_miRNA from 1 species